GGGGAAUUUUGGACAAUGGGCGCAAGCCUGAUCCAGCCAUGCCGCGUGAGUGAAGAAGGCCUUCGGGUUGUAAAGCUCUUUCAGACGGGAAGAAACGACUAUAGCUAAUAUCUAUGGUUAAUGACGGUACUGUCAGAAGAAGCACCGGCUAACUACGUGCCAGCAGCCGCGGUAAUACGUAGGGUGCGAGCGUUAAUCGGAAUUACUGGGCGUAAAGCGUGCGCAGGCGGUUUUGUAAGACAGGUGUGAAAUCCCCGGGCUUAACCUGGGAACUGCAUUUGUGACUGCAAGGCUAGAGUGCGGCAGAGGGGGGUAGAAUUCCACGUGUAGCAGUGAAAUGCGUAGAGAUGUGGAGGAAUACCGAUGGCGAAGGCAGCCCCCUGGGUCGACACUGACGCUCAUGCACGAAAGCGUGGGGAGCAAAC
rnacentral:rRNA from 1 species